rnacentral:misc_RNA from 1 species
AACGCACAUUGCGCCCCCUGGCAUUCCGGGGGGCAUGCCUGUUCGAGCGUCAUUUCAACCCUCAAGCGCGGCUUGUGUUAUGGGCUUCGUCACCGUGUGGACGUGCCCCAAAUUCAGUUAUCAGGGCCGUGAUCGGCGCCCGAGCGAAUGGGAGAUCCACUAGCUCAGAGGGCACGACCUCCCCGGAUAUACUCUUUAUUAAUCAAAGGUUGACCUCGGAUCAGGUAGGGAUACCCGCUGAACUUAA